GAUGAACGCUGGCGGCGUGCCUAAUACAUGCAAGUCGAGCGAACAGACGAGGAGCUUGCUCCUUCGACGUUAGCGGCGGACGGGUGAGUAACACGUAGGUAACCUACCUAUAAGACUGGGAUAACUUCGGGAAACCGGAGCUAAUACCGGAUAAUAUUUCGAACCGCAUGGUUCGAUAGUGAAAGAUGGCUUUGCUAUCACUUAUAGAUGGACCUGCGCCGUAUUAGCUGGUUGGUAAGGUAACGGCUUACCAAGGCAACGAUACGUAGCCGACCUGAGAGGGUGAUCGGCCACACUGGAACUGAGACACGGUCCAGACUCCUACGGGAGGCAGCAGUAGGGAAUCUUCCGCAAUGGGCGAAAGCCUGACGGAGCAACGCCGCGUGAGUGAUGAAGGUCUUCGGAUCGUAAAACUCUGUUAUUAGGGAAGAACAAACGUGUAAGUAACUGUGCACGUCUUGACGGUACCUAAUCAGAAAGCCACGGCUAACUACGUG
rnacentral:rRNA from 1 species